GGGCAUGAUUGCAUGCCAGGGAGGGGACGACCGGGUUCAGGGGGCCCAAGCAAAUGUUUGCCCAGGGUCCAAUCCAUAUUAAAGACGGCCCUGCCCAUGAGUUCGCUCACAGGGAGUGGAGUUUGUUGGGGAUGUGUUAUGUGUUAUUGUAGAGGAUCUAAUAUGUGUGCUUAUGGUAUGUAGUGUAUAGGGUUUGUGUAGGUGAUGCAGUGUGUUUG